rnacentral:rRNA from 1 species
UGAGCAACCUGCCCUUGACUCUGGAAUAACAGUUGGAAACAGCUGCUAAUACCGGAUAUGACUCCUCAUCGCAUGGUGGGGGGUGGAAAGCUUUUUGUGGUUUUGGAUGGACUCGCGGCCUAUCAGCUUGUUGGUGAGGUAAUGGCUCACCAAGGCGACGACGGGUAGCCGGCCUGAGAGGGUGACCGGCCACACUGGGACUGAGACACGGCCCAGACUCCUACGGGAGCAG